rnacentral:lncRNA from 1 species
UUGUUAAAUAGAUCUAUUUCUUCGAGCGUAGUUGAAUUAAAAAUACUUGAUGGAAUCUGACCUGCACACAUAGUCGAAAAUUGAAGUGAAAUCAAACUCUUUUGUGAAAAAAAUAUUACCAGAUAAUUCAUUCCAACCCAGGUAAAGCCCUUCAAGCUUGGGAAGAUGUUGACACAUAUCAUUAGGCAAACUACCUGAUAGGCUAUUGUUGGAGAGAUUAAUGGUCUUCAAAGAAGAAAUGUUGAAGAUCGAAGUUGGAAUCUGACCUAUAAGGCCUUUAAUUGCUCUAAUACUAAGCCUUUCCAAACUAAGAAGAUUACCAAUUUCCUUAGGAAUUAGACCUGCAGACAGUCGAAAAUUCAAUGUUUUUCAGCAUAUGUUUUUCAUCAAAUGAAAUAAAAAGUUCUUCCUUUUGUUAUCUAUUACAAAUCAAACUCUUUUAUAAAAAAAAUACUUUAAAUUCAAGAAAUCAAGGAAAUUGAUUACCUUCUAGAUUAUUAAACCCCAAAUAUAAUUCUUGGAGUCGUGUUAGAUUUCCAAUACUUCUUGGAAUGAUCCCCAUAAAUUGAUUAUAGGACAACGACAAAAUAUUAAGGUUGUUGCAUUUGCCCAUGCCAAAUGGAAUGUUACUAGAAAACUCAUUGCUAUCCAAGUAAAGCCCUUCAAGCUUGGGAAGAUGUUGACACAUAUCAUUAGGCAAACUACCUGAUAGGUUAUUGUUGGAGAGAUCAAUGGUCUUCAAAGAAGAAAUGUUGAAGAUCGAAGUUGGAAUCUGACCUGUAAAGCCUUUAAUUGCUUUAAUAUUAAGCAUUUCCAAACUAAGAAGUUUAAAUCAAUUAAGAAUAAAAUUUUGGCAUGGAAAAAUGUGAUGAAAUCAAUUAAAAAGUUGAGACAUAAUAAGAAGUUUUGAGUCGUAAUUAGUCCUUCUGAUUUGUAUAGACAAAACAUAUAAUACACUAAUAAUAAUUAGUUUGGCAUGAGAAUGUGGCAUCUAAUCAAUCUUAAAAAUGAGAUGACACUGAAUAAUAAUUAGUUAUGAUUUGGGAAACAAAAAUGUUAAAGCCAUUGCUUUUAAUGUAAACUAGUAUGAUUUUUAUCUAUUGGGUUAAUUAUUUAUUUUUAUGAAAUUAUAGUGUAAAAUUUAAAGAUUAUUUUUAUCUAUUACAAAUCAAACUCUUUUAUGAAAAAAAUAUUUUAAAUUAAAGAAACAAAGAAAAUUCAAUAUCUUCUAAGUUAUUCCACUCCAAAUAUAAUCUUCAGUGAAGAAAUCUUGAAGAUGGAAGAUGGAACCUUACCAGAUAAUUGAUUGAAUCCCAAGCUCAAGGACUCUAGAUUAGACAUGUUAACAAGUGUUUCAGGGAUUGUGCCUAUAAAGUUAUUAUUUUUCAUUUUCAGCCUUCGAACUCCCUGUAAGUUCCCAAGCCAUGAUGGAAUUUCCCCAUUAAGACUGUUGUAUUUUAAUCGAAGGAUCCUCAAACGAUGCAAUUGGCCCAAUUCUUUAGGGAGAUGGCCAUAGAAAUGGUUUCUACUCAAGUCGAGAGAGAGUAGAAAUGAAAGAUUUCCAAGGUGUGGAGGGAUACUACCCCUAAGAUUCAUGCUUUUAAGUUUGGAAACAAAUUCAACACAAUGUUUUUGGAGUUUGGAAAAAAUUAAAGUGAAAAACAUACCUUCUAAUUUGUUGUCAGAUAGUCCUAUUAUUUCGAGCAUAGUUGAAUUAAAAAUACUUGAUGGAAUCUGACCUGCACAUAUAGUUGAAAAUUGAAGUGAAAAACAUACCUUCUAAACUGUUCAACUAAAAAAACUUUAAGCAUAUUUGUUUUUCCAUCAAAUUAACUAUUUUGCCUUGAAUGAAAUAAAAUGCUCUUACUUUUGUUAUUUAUUACUAAUCAAACUCUUUUCUAAAAAAAAACUUUAAAUUAAGAAACUAAGAAAAUUCGGUACCUUCUAGGUUAUUAAACCCUAAAUAUAACUUCUGGAGUCGUGUUAGAUUUCCAAUACUUCUUGGAAUGAUACCCAUAAAUUGAUUAUAGGACAACGACAAAUUUUUAAGGUUGUUGCAUUUGCCCAUGCCAAAUGGAAUGUUACCAGAUAAUUCAUUCCAACUCAGGUAAAGCCCUUCAAGCUUGGGAAGAUGUUGACACAUAUCAUUAGGCAAACUACCUAGGUUAUUGUUGGAGAGAUCAAUGGUCUUCAAAGAAGAAAUGUUGAAGAUCGAAGUUGGAAUCUGACCUGUA